GUACGGGAGGCAGCAGUGGGGAAUUUUGGACAAUGGGGGCAACCCUGAUCCAGCCAUGCCGCGUGAGUGAAGAAGGCCUUCGGGUUGUAAAGCUCUUUCGGUGGGAACGAAACGGGCACGGUUAAUACCCGUGUUCAAUGACGGUACUCACAGAAGAAGCACCGGCUAACUACGUGCCAGCAGCCGCGGUAAUACGUAGGGUGCGAGCGUUAAUCGGAAUUACUGGGCGUAAAGCGUGCGUAGGCGGUUGCAUAAGCUUGAUGUGAAAGCCCCGGGCUUAACCUGGGAAUGGCAUUGAGGACUGUGCGGCUUGAGUGCGGCAGAGGGAGGUGGAAUUCCAGGUGUAGCAGUGAAAUGCGUAGAGAUCUGGAGGAACACCGAUGGCGAAGGCAGCCUCCUGGGCCGACACUGACGCUGAGGGCACGAAAGCGUGGGGAGCAAACAGGAUUAGAUACCCUGGUAGC
rnacentral:rRNA from 1 species